rnacentral:misc_RNA from 1 species
UUUCCGUAGGUGAACCUGCGGAAGGAUCAUUGCACACACGAUGCAGCAAACUAGCGAACUGUGUUUGUCCCCCACCUACCCCAAACACGAGGGGCCGCAUCUGGAGGUGCGGCUGUCGACGGCAAGGUCCCGACCUUCGGGUCCCCGCAGUGGUUCCCGCAAGCGGGCUGAUCAUGUCGCCGUCUGGGUGUCCCGCGCGGGCUCUCGCCUUGCCUUAGGGUUGGGCGACGCGGGCAUUCUCCUCCCUUCGAUGGCGUCGUCCCCUCCUCCGGGAGAGCGACACGCCUCGAGGGCCGUUUACAACUUUGCACCAUGUACAACACCAGUUACUGAGUAUCCCUGUGUACCGGUUCCGCUGCUGCCCUCGGGUGGUGCGAGAUUGGUCCAUAGGAACAAGAGUAAAUAAAAACAACUCUCAGCAACGGAUAUCUUGGCUCUU